AUGAAAUUAGGAGACAUCAAUACGUGUGUUGCUAUUGAGGAGUUACGAUUUUUGUUUUUUUAAAGGCAGCAUUUGUUACGAUUUCUUUGAGCAAUAAGUGCAUAAGUCUCAUUCAUUUGGAACAUUAUAAGUUAACGUGACAGCCAAAUGUUCCUAAGACCUCAGGGGUAGAAUUGUUUUGGGAGAAAAAGUACCCCCUAGAGUUGCCUUAUUCUAUUCUGAAAAAAAAUAUACGUAUUAAUUUGAGGAAAAUAUAAAUGAAGUGUUGAAGAAGAAUAACAUUUCUAAUAUUUGACAGCAAAUUUUUUCAUCGAGAAAACCCAUCUGUAAUCUUCACCAGCUAAGUUCAGGUUUUUUACAAAAAUGUUUUGUAAGUUUUUAAGUGAUUUAUACAUUUUGAGUAGAAAAAGUUGUAUUCUUCCUUCCAAGCAUAUGAAUUUUGUUUUCUGGUUCUCUUGGAAAAGUGUCAUACCAUGAAAUGAGUAUUUGCCAAACCAGAGAGAAAACAGGCACUCCAUUGCUUUUAAAUGCUGUAGCAUCCCACUCUUCUUUCUGAUUCUCCUCUCCUAUGUAUUUCCUUUUAAAACUUAUUUAUUUAAACAAAUUACCAAAUGACAAUGUUAGCUAAGGACUGACCUCAUCCUGCAACUUCCUCCAUGAGAACAGUUCCACGUAGCCGUACCCUCCAGUCCGAGUGGGGAGCGCUGCUCAAGCCAGGCCUCUUCUCCUGGCUGUGAGCUGCAGGAUCGGGGCUCAGAGACAAAGCUGUACCUUAAGUCUGCCUCAGAGUCCUCCCGGCUGGGUAACCCAUGGGCGUAACGAGGUUAGAGUUCUCCAGUGUGAAAGUAUACUAAUAAUGUACUUGAUAUUAUUAUACUGUAGUGGUGCUGUAACAGAGGAACAUGAAUUUUCUAGGUCUCCUUUAUUUAAAAUCUAGACAAGGUGCUUUUUCCUUGAAAAGUUGAACUGUAAAUGCAAUGUUUACAGUUUUGGUACGAAAAGUACUUAAAUGGUAUUUUUAACAUAUAGUGCCAGUUAGGACCUUGGUGCUACAAAUACUUAAAUACGGCCGUAGAUCAUUGAGACUGUUCUCCUGUAUAAGCGUAUACACACGUAGUGUUGGCAGGAGCAAGGUCUGAAGUAGCAAUCACUAUAUAACGACCUGGGGUUCAGCUGCACGGAUUCCUGUCGAAGUUAACAGAAAUGUUGGUGGCAGAAGAUGGCUGAACUGAACCCAUUCUUUGUAUCUUCAGUAAAAUUUGUAAAAACCGGGUAUGCUGCAAAUCUUAGUUCAGAGCUUAAUUUUAGUUCAAAUAGAGGAUAUGAAGGGAUUGUAAAUAAUAAUAAAACAAAAACAAUAUUACACCAUCAUUUUGUACCAGCAGUUUUAUGCUUCUUGACUACGUAAUAUACAGUAUACAUCAGAUCAUUAUGGUAUUUUGUGUGCCUUAGAUUUCCAUUUUGAAACUCGUAUAUUUUUGGUGAGCCUAAGACUAGUAAGAACUCUGGCUGUCCAUACAGGAAGUAGAACUGUACGUUCUGUAGCUAUUCCAUUCACAUAUUUGCUAUCUGGAAACCCUUGUCCAAGACUGUGAGCAAUCAUGUGCAGGAAAUACUAGUUGACUGGUUUCACUGCUAGCGCUGAUGGCUUUAGUUUGUGUAAUACGAAUUAAAAAUACCAUUCAGCACUCCUGUAUGAGCAACAACUUUUCUACACAAAACAGUGUUACAGAGCGAUCUACUUACCGCUAGAAAUGUUCCGAUCAUUAAAGUGGAUCAGUUUCACUUGAAUCGCCCCCUAUAAAUGUCCAGGUUUAACUUAGGUAUUAUUAGAAACUUAAGGAUGAAAAUGUUCCAUUCAAAAACCAGCAGCUUCCCUCAAAGAAGUGAGAAAGAAGUGAAAGGUAGAUCUGAAAGGAUACCUCCAAACAUAGCUCGUGGCAAGCCACUGCUCAAGUGACGGCACCAGCAGAAUUUCAGCAAGUUCAGGUCUACCUUAUUUAAGACGGCAGUUUUGAGAGAAAAGUAUAUCUUAACACAAUAGUAAUGCUAUUAACUGAUAGGUGCUAAAACUCAGAGUUACUACUUAUUAAGAUUACUUAUAUGAGAAAUAUAUAUCAUCUGUACAAUAGGUGCUCUUUCCUCGAUUGUCUAUAAUGUAACUACUUUCUCAGUGUGUAUCUAACAGGCAGGUUAGCUGGCCACUUCUGUUUCCUGCUGUGGCACAUAGCAGGUUGUGAUUUAAGAAGUUAGUAUUUUCUAUUGCUGUACUGCGGUGUGAGAAAUACAACCAUUUACUGUUU
ensembl:lncRNA